GAUGAACGCUAGCUACAGGCUUAACACAUGCAAGUCGAGGGGAAACGACAUCGGAAGCUUGCUUUUGAUGGGCGUCGACCGGCGCACGGGUGAGUAACGCGUAUCCAACCUGCCCACCACUUGGGAAUAACCUUGCGAAAGUAAGACUAAUACCCAAUGACGUCUCUAGAAGACAUCUGAAAGAGAUUAAAGAUUUAUCGGUGACGGAUGGGGAUGCGUCUGAUUAGGUAGUAGGCGGGGUAACGGCCCACCUAGCCGACGAUCAGUAGGGGUUCUGAGAGGAAGGUCCCCCACAUUGGAACUGAGACACGGUCCAAACUCCUACGGGAGGCAGCAGUGAGGAAUAUUGGUCAAUGGGCGAGAGCCUGAACCAGCCAAGUAGCGUGCAGGAUGACGGCCCUACGGGUUGUAAACUGCUUUUAUGAAGGAAUAAAGUCACCCACGUGUGGGUGUUUGCAUGUACUUUAUGAAUAAGGACCGGCUAAUUCCGUG
rnacentral:rRNA from 1 species